CAGCCGCCGCGGGAAUACGAAGGGGGCUAGCGUUGUUCGGAAUUACUGGGCGUAAAGGGCGCGUAAGCGGCCAUUCAAGUUAGAUGAGAAAGCCCUGGGCUCAACCUUGGAACUGCCUUUGAUACUGGAAGUCUUGAGUCCGGGAGAGGUGAGUAGAACUGCGAGUGUAGAGGUGAAAUUCGUAGACAUUCGCAAGAACACCAGUGGCGAAGGCGGCUCACUGGCCCGGUACUGACGCUGAGGCGCGAAAGCGUGGGGAGCAAACAGGAUUAGAUACCCCUGUAGUCCCUGUCUCUUAUAA
rnacentral:rRNA from 1 species